UGGAACGUACGCAGAACUAAUUCGCCUUGAGGAGACGGCAAGAGUUGUUCCUUGGUAAGAAUCUUGCUGCCAUCAUCUUCUAAGCUAACGUUUCAUUUCCAGGAACAAGAAAAGCUUCAGAGAAACAGCUCAUACCUCCUCUCCUCGAUUGAUACGCUCUUCUUCCGUCGCGGCGCAGAAUGGACAACGCUACGCGGAGUUUAGUAGCGUUCACAGCUCACCGCCUCAAAUUCCAAGUCCAUCAUCUGAAGACAAAGACUCCGUAACGUUUGGCAGCGGAACGGCGGAAGGAGAAAAAAAUCCGCAACACCCGCCACCGCUGGAUAUUCACAACUUCCAACAAAUACCUUUCAAGUCUGAUCCGGAAUCUCCCGUGUCGCCACUCCUGACAUCUGACCCCAAGAACGAGAGAUCUCACUCGAAGACAUUC
rnacentral:lncRNA from 1 species